CGACAGUCUGCGUCGGGCUGUUAUAGGAGUGAGGUGUGUGCUGCGUCGCUCCUCGGAGAGCACGUCGAGGGAAGACUAUGCUGUCGAUCCUUGAAAACUAGAAACACAAUGAGGUGAAGAAAGUGUGAAACAGAAUGAAAUUCUGAG